rnacentral:rRNA from 1 species
UGCGCAGGUGGGCUUGUAAGUCAGUGGUGAAAUCUUGCCGCUUAACGGUAAAAUUGCCAUUGAUACUGCAAGUCUUGAGUAUGGUUGAGGUAGGUGGAAUGUGUUGUGUAGCGGUGAAAUGCAUAGAUAUGACACAGAACGCCGAUUGCGAAGGCAACUUACUAAGCCAUUACUGACGCUGAGGCACGAAAGCGUGGGGAGCGAACAGGAUUGGAUACCCUGGUAGUCC